UAGCCUUUUUUCUUUAUCAGAAGCGCAAGUGGGCUCUUCUAUCUGUUUUUCCCCGAGACCACGUAACAUUUUAAACGUUAAAACAGCAAUGGCAGAUACAAAAGUCGAUACCAGCUCGGAGAUCUCCACCAAGGAACUUAAAGAGAAGAAGCUGGUUGAUGAGGCAGAGAAUGGAAAGGAUGCUCCAGCCAAUGGGAAUGCAGAUACAGAGGAGAAUGGAGAUCCAGAAAAUGAAGUAGAUGAGGAAGA